rnacentral:rRNA from 1 species
UACGAAGGGUGCAAGCGUUACUCGGAAUCACUGGGCGUAAAGCGUGCGUAGGCGGUUGGUUAAGUCUGAUGUGAAAGCCCUGGGCUCAACCUGGGAAUGGCAUUGGAAACUGGCGACCUAGAGUGCGGUAGAGGGUAGUGGAAUUCCCGGUGUAGCAGUGAAAUGCGUAGAGAUCGGGAGGAACAUCUGUGGCGAAGGCGACUGCCUGGACCAGCACUGACACUGAGGCACGAAAGCGUGGGGAGCAAACAGG